GCGCCCGUGAUGUAACGGGAGCCUGCCGCCUGGCCAUGGCGGAAGUGCGGGUUCGAUCCCCGCCGGGCGCU
rnacentral:tRNA from 1 species